rnacentral:tRNA from 1 species
GGCAUAGCCAAGCGGUAAGGCAACAGACUUUGACUCUGUCAUCCGUGGGUUCAAAUCCCGCUGCC